AUGUCAGGAUUGAAAAUCAAUUUUGACAAAAGUGAGAUUUUUACUAUUGGAGGGGAUAACGAGAUUGACUUAGUAUAUGCGGACAUGUUUAAUUGUCAAGUGGGCACCCUGCCCAUGAGAUAUUUGGGUGUCCCUGUUACAUAUUCUACUCUUAAGAACGUAGAAUUGGAUUUCCUGGAAGGUAAGAUGAUUAAAAAAUUGGAUGCUUGGAUUGCUUAUGCAGCAUGA
rnacentral:rRNA from 1 species